AAAAAUCUGGUGUAAUUCUGAUAGGCUUGCCUUUGUAUGUUACUUGACCUUUUUCCCUUACCGCUUUUAGUAUUCUAUCUUUAUUUAGUGCAUUUGUUGUUCUGAUUAUUAUGUGUCGGGAGGAAUUUCUUUUCUAGUCCAGUCUAUUUGGAGUUCUGUAGGCUUCUUGUAUGUUCAUAGGUAUCUCUUUCUUUAUAUUUGGGAAGUGUUCUUCAAUAAUUUUGUUGAAGAUGUUUGCUGGUCCUUUGAGUUGAAAAUCUUCAUUCUUAUCCACUCCUAUUAUCCGUAGGUUUGGUCUUCUCAUUGUGUCCUGGAUUUCCUGGAUAUUUUGAGUUAGGAUCUUUUUGCAUUUUCCAUUUUCUUUGAUUGUUGUGCCGAUGUUCUCUGUGGAAUCUUCUGCACCUGAGAUUCUCUCUUCCAUCUCUUGUAUUCUGUUGCUGAUGCUCAAAUCUAUGGUUCCAGAUUUCUUUCUUAGGGUUUCUAUCUCCAGUGUUGCCUCACUUUGAGUUUUUUUAUUGUUUCUACUUCCCUUUUUAGGUCUAGUAUGGUUUUGUUCAUUUCCAUCACCUGUUUGUAUGUUUUUUCCUCUCUUUCUGUAAGGACUUCUACCUGUUUGAUUGUGUUUUCCUGUUUUUCUUUAAGGACUUGUAACUCUUUAGCAGUGUUCUCCUGUAUUUCUUUAAGUGAUUUAUUAAAGUCCUUCUUGAUGUCCUCUACCAUCAUCAUGAGAUAUGCUUUUAAAUCUAGGUCUAGGUUUUCGGGUGUGUUGGGGUGCCCUGGACUGGGUGAAGUGGGAGUGCUGGGUUCUGAUGAUGGUGAGUGGUCUUGGUUCCUGUUAGUAGGAUUCCUACGUUUACCUUUCGCCAUCUGGUAAUCUCUGGAGUUAGUAGUUAUAGUUGACUCUGUUUAGAGAUUGUUCUUCUGGUGAUUCUGUUACCGUCUCUCAGCAGACCUGGGAGACAGAUUCUCUCCUCUGAGUUUCAGUGCUCAGAGCACUCUCUGCUGGCAAGCUCUCUUACAGGGAAGGUGCGCAGAUAUCUUGUUUUUGGACCUCCUCCUGGUCGAAGAAGAAGGCCCAAAAUAGGGCCUCUCUCAGAAGCUGUGUUGCUUUGGCAGUUCCCAGAAGCUGUCAGCUUCUGUGGUGCAGACUCUCUCCUGUGCAGACUAAAUUCCUAAGUUCCAGGGAGUCCUGGAACCAAGAUGGUGACCGCUGCUCCUGAGGCUGAGGCCGCCUCCCGAGCCAGGGGGACACCUGUCCUCUGGUCCGGAAGGUGGCUGGCUGUCUGCGGCCCGCCAAGGGUACUGCCUCAGCGGCUCUGUGCUUCUGCCCGUCCCAGAAGCUGUCUGGUUCUCUGGCGCCGCAAUUGUAUAAUUAAAAGAUGAAAUAAAAUUUUAUAAUUGGACCCUGAAUCUUGACCUUGGCAAUGUGUACCAAGUAUUUCUUCCUUUUUCAAGAAAUCAACAGUCCUCUUUGAAUGGGAAUAAAAUAGUGGCAGUUGCAUAGUGGUUAAGUUUGCAGAAGGGGAAGUUGUUCUUAUGCCUGUAAUUUAAUUUCAUUGAGGUUAAUCCAGCACCUCUUUCCCUUCAUAUUAAAUACAGCAGUCUCCUCUCCAGCAGAACACCUGGGGCAGCUUUCUCUGUUCCUGUGCGCCCAUCAUCUCCCAUGAAUAUCACAGAUCUGCCUUUUCUAACCUUCUUCUCCCUACUCAUUAUUUGUCCCAGCUUCCAAAUACAGCAAGCAGUUCUCGCUAACCUACAGAUCACUCCUGCCAAGAACACAAAUAAGCUGUCUGUAGAUUUUUUUUGUCUCCUUCUAUGCCGUAGAUCCAAAUUCCUGUUUCAUCCCUGUUGCUAUAGCAAACCCUCUGUGGUGACCUCUGUUCUCUGUAUUUUCCCCAUUCCAUGGAGACAAAAUAAGAAUAUCCUUGUUGAAUACUCUUUUCUCCUCCCUCCUGUGAAUCCCUUCAGACAUGUAGCCUAUUCCCAUGCCUAAGUGUCCGCUCCCAAUACUCAGAAAAAACAUUUACUUGGAGCCUUGAAGUGGCCAGAAUUAACAGAAUAAAAGAAAAUGCCUACUAGACAAUACACAGGCAUCACACUCACCAAUAAUCAAGGAAAAAACAACCAUCCAAUGAAGACAAAUCCAGAGGUUGGCACCUAGUUCUAUUAUCAACUCUAUCCAAGAUACCUAGGAACCAACAUAAAACAUAAUCAAUAACAUUCAGAGAAAUCUAUCUUCACUAAAAUGCAACUAUUAUGCAAUAUCAGGUCCUGAAUAUUUCAACAUAACUGAAAGACAAGGAAAUGACUUUAAACCCACCUAUGUGAAGAGAUAGUCUUCUUCAAAGAGGAAAUUGAUAAAUUCCUUAAAUAAAUUUAGGAAAACACAAGUAUUCAGUGUAAAGAUAGGAAUAAAAGAGUUUAAGGCCUUACAAUGGAAAAAGAAGCAGUAAAGAACACACAAACUGAGGGAAAAUGAAUAUAAUACAGAAAAAUGGAAGAAUGAAUCUCAAAUAUUGAAGAUACAAUAGAAGUAACGGAUAUAUUGGUAAAAGAAAUGUUUUUUUGAGCUUUUAAUUAAUUUUUAUUUUUUAUUGAAGAUGUUUUUUUAUUUUUUGAAUUUAAAUUAUUCUAUUUAUUUGAUUCUAGUCCCUGCCCCAAGCCCACCCCUCACAGUUCCUCAUCACAUUCUUCCUUCCCCUUACAUCCGAGAGAGUACUUUCCUUUCACCAGGCUCCCCUUCCCUAAGGCCUUAAUGCUCUUGAGGAUUAAGCACAUCUUCCACUGAAGCCAAACCAGGUAUACCUCUGCUAAGUAUGUGGUAAGGGCUUCUGACCAGUUUGACUAUGCUCAUGGAUGGUGGCUCAGUUUCUGAGAGCUCCCUGGGCUCUGAGUUAAGUGAGACUGCUGGUCUUCCUAUGGGGUAGCCCUCCCUUUCAGCUUCCUCAAAUCUUCCCCUCAUUCCACCAUAGGCGGCUACAACUUCACUCCAAUGGUUGGGUAUAAAUAUCUGUUUCUGUAUCAAUCAGCUGCCGGUAGGGGCACUCUGAGGACAGUAAUGCCAGGCUACCAUCUGUAAACACAUCAUAGCAUAGUGAUGUCAAGACUUGGUUCCCCCCACCUAUCAUGAGAUAGUUCCCAGAUUGGGCUGGUCAUGGGGCCUCCUUUCCUUCAGUUUCUUCUCCAUUUUUGUCCCUACAUUUCUUUUAGACAGGAUCAAUCAAGUUCAAGAGCAUCAAGGAUCUUAAGAUACAAUGACUCUACUAACAGAGAAAGUGACAUCAAAGGCUCCGAAUCUAAGAUCAAAAAUUGAUAAAUGGGACCUCAUGAAACUGAAAAGCUUCUGUAAGGCAAAAGGCAUAGUCAAAAGGACAAAUUGGCAACCUACAGAAUGGGGAAAAAACUUCACUAACCCUACAUUCGACAGAGGACUAAUGUCCAAAAUAUAUAAAGAACUCAAGAAGUCAACCUCCCAAAACCCAAAUAACACAAUUAAUAAAUGGGGAACAGAGCUAAGGAGAAAACUCACAACUGAGGAAUCUCAAAUGGCUGAGAAGCACCUAAAGAAAUGGUCAAAUCCCUAGUGUUCAGAGAAAUGCAAAUCAAAAUAACCCUGAGAUUCCACUUUACACCAAUCAGAAUGGCUAAGAUCAAAAUCUCAGGUGACAACACAUGUUGGAGAGGAUGUGAAGAAAGAGGAACACUCCUCCAUUGCUUGUGGGAUUGCAAACUGGUACAACCGCUCUGGAAAUCAAUAUGGCAGUUCCUCAGAAAAUUUGAAAUAGUUCUACCUGAAGACUCAACUAUUCCACUCUUGAGCAUAUACCCAAAAGAUGUCCUACCAAACCAGGAGGAUACACAUUCCACCAUGUUCAAAGCAGCCUUAUUUGUAGUAGCAGGAACUUGAAACAACCCAUAUGCCCCACAUGGAAGAAUGGGUACAGAAAGUGUAGUUCAUUUACACAAUAGAAUACUAUUCAGCUAAUUAAAAAUGAAGAUAUCAUGAAUUUUAUAGGCAAGUGGAUGGAACUGGAAAAUAUCAUCCUGAAUGUGGUAACUCAGGCCCAAAAGUACAUGCAUAUACUGUGAUACGUGGAUAUUAGCCAAAAAGUACACCAUACCUUGAAUAUAGCCUCAGACCAUAAGAAUUAUAACAAUCAGAAAUGUCCAAGUAAGGAGGUUUCAACUCCACAUAAAAGGGGUAAAAAAAAUAAUCACAGGAGGCUAAUGGAGGGAGAGACCUGGGUGAGAAAGGGGAUGGAGAGGGAACAGAAGAAAGCCCAGAUGGCCAGGAGAAUAAAUGGAAAUAAGUAGCCUAGGGGAGUGGGUGGUGAAGAACCCUUUAGAGAGAACUAGAGAUCUGGGAGGUAAGACACUAUCAGGACUCAUUGUUGAUGACCUUAGCCAUAACGCCCAACACUGGGCAAAGGGAACUUGAAGAGUCCACCUCCAGUAAAUAGACAGGACCUCACGUGGAGGGAAAAGAUUACUAAAAUACAGUCAAAAUUCAGAGAAAUAUUUUUUUAAUUCUGAGAAAAAACAUACAGCAUGUUUGAGACAUCAUAGAAAGACAAAACUUAAGAAUUUUAAGAAUCAGGUGUUUAGAUCUGGGCUUGCUAUUUGGUCUAGAGAUUUGCAAGGCCCAAAGAGUGUCCAGACUCUCUGAGAAAACUUGGACGCCCCAAAAGUAACCAACUUAAAACCUUAGCUGAUGACACAUCCUAGUUGUAUCUCUCUGCCAUCCCAGUUGGUCACCUAGGUCUUCAUGGAGAGGUGAGUAGCAAGUGUUCCCUCCAAUCUUCAAUGUCUAUCUCUGGGCUUGAUCUUUGGUCCACAGGAGCCUAAUGUUGCUCCAAGAGCAUCCUUAUUCCCUGUUGAAAUCUUCAGGGGCCCCAAAAUUAACCAGCUUGGAACCCUGCUACAAUAAUCCAAUCUCAGUUAGAUCUGACUGGAUACCUGUUGAGUUAAACUAUGACACAUUCUGCAUAGUGGGGACUGUCUGAGGCAUAGUCAACAGAAUUGGAUACUUUGAAUUCCAUUUUCUGAUAAUGGCUUCCACCUCUUUUCCAAGAAGUCCUGCUGUCAUCAAGAUCACCCAACCAACAUCAGGGAAAGUAAAUGCUAAAAGAACAGCAUAAGAACACAAUCAACAAGACCCAGGGCAAUAUGACAUCAACAGAGCCCAGCUGUCCUGCUACAACAAACCCUGGAUAUCCUAAUGAAACUGAAGC
rnacentral:lncRNA from 1 species